rnacentral:rRNA from 1 species
UGGGGAAUCUUGCACAAUGGGCGAAAGCCUGAUGCAGCGACGCCGCGUGGGGGAUGAAGCAUUUCGGUGUGUAAACCCCUUUCGAUCCGGACGAAUGCCCGCAAGGGAUUGACGGUACGGAUAUAAGAAGCCCCGGCUAACUACGUGCCAGCAGCCGCGGUAAGACGUAGGGGGCCAGCGUUGUUCGGAAUUACUGGGUGUAAAGGGUUCGUAGGCGGUGCGGCAAGUUGGGAGUGAAAUCUCUGGGCUUAACCCAGAGGCUGCUUCCAAAACUGCUGUGCUUGAGUGUGGGAGAGGCGCGUGGAAUUGCAGGUGUAGCGGUGAAAUGCGUAGAUAUCUGCAGGAACACCCGUGGCGAAAGCGGCGCGCUGGACCACUACUGACGCUGAGGAACGAAAGCUAGGGGAGCAAAC